AAAAGGUUUUUACCACAUAUGCAAGUCUAAACUCUUGUUUUGCUACUUGCUGAGCAAAACAAUGAGUUAUAAAUAGUGAAAUGAGACCUCCUAGUCCUACCCCAUUAUCAGAAGCCCAUUGGGCUGAAGAGCCUAAAGAGCCUAAAGAGACUAAAGAGUCUAACCACGUCCAAAGAGAUAAGUAUCAUGGCCACAGUCAUGGUAAAUGGAAUGAACGUGGUAGAAGUGGCAAUUAUAAUUUAUAUGAUCAAGGAAACCAUUCAUAUGGUUAAGGCC
rnacentral:lncRNA from 1 species